ACGGGGUGCAGCAGGCGCGAAAACUUUACAAUGCGGGAAACCGUGAUAAGGGAACACCGAGUGCCAGCAUCAUAUGCUGGCUGUCCAGAUGUGUAAACUACAUCUGUUAGCAAGGGCCGGGCAAGACCGGUGCCAGCCGCCGCGGUAACACCGGCGGCCCGAGUGGUGACCGUUAUUAUUGGGUCUAAAGGGUCCGUAGCCGGUUUGGUCAGUCCUCCGGGAAAUCUGAUAGCUCAACUAUUAGACUUUCGGGGGAUACUGCCAGGCUUGGAACCGGGAGAGGUAAGAGGUACUACAGGGGUAGGAGUGAAAUCUUAUAAUCCCUGUGAGACCACCUGUGGCGAAGGCGUCUUACCAGAACGGGUUCGACGGUGAGGGACGAAAGCUGGGGGCACGAACCGGAUUAGAUACCCGGGUAGUCCCAGCCGUAAACUAUGCUCGCUAGGUGUCAGGCAUGGCGCGACCGUGUCUGGUGCCGCAGGGAAGCCGUGAAGCGAGCCACCUGGGAAGUACGGCCGCAAGGCUGAAACUUAAAGGAAUUGGCGGGGGAGCAC
rnacentral:rRNA from 1 species